AAUAGAUUCUACCUUCCUGUAACGUUUCAGCCUGAUUGGACCUUGUUUUCACACAAAUGAACCCAGAAUGAUGUGAAAUUGUGCAUCGUGCAACAUAAUUCUGGGUGCCAUUUACAAACCAUAAGUGCUAAUGACUCCAUUCCUUUUUGAGGUUGUAGGGGCUGUUGGUUGGAGUACAUUAAAACAAACCUGAUCUCUCUAGGACAUUCAGAAGCCAAGUUAUAAGCCCACAAAUGUGUAACUGGACUACUUCUUUAAAGGCCCCGUGUGUGAAAUUCACAGAAAUCAUAGUAAAAAGAUCCGACUCUUUAGCACCACGCAGUUUAGAGUCGGUAUUGCAGCUAUUGGAGCCCCCGAGGAUCAAAAAGGGUUUUUUUAUCAUUAUUUAAAACUUUAUUAACAAAUAUAACAAAUACAAUACAAAAUCGUGUUGCUGUAAACGGCAGCAUGUCAUCAUCUAAUUCCAGCUUUCAAGUCAGCGAACAGGUUAGUUGUUUUCAUGUAACUUAUUUUAUUAAUUUAAUCUAAAUAGGUUUUGAAUAAGAAAAACUUUUUUAUGUCAGUUAUGUUUGCUAAUAGCAAACGGCAGCUAGUUAGUGAUGACUUCUGACUACAAAAAAUGACAAUAUUUUGUUCAUUUUAUUUGAGAAAUGUUAUAUUUCUAUUUGCCAUUUUGGAAAUAUACAAGGUAGUGUAGUCUGUAAUUGUUUUCUCUCCGUAAACAGAGUCAGAUAUCAUCCGAUGGUUCAUCAGUGGAGACAGACAGAGGACGAGGGAGAGGAAGAGGGCGAGGAAGAGGGAGAGGACAGACGUGUGCCAGCGCACAGAGAGGCAGAGGUGUUAGACAUGCGACAGAAGCAGGGCAAGCAUCCCAAGAUGAAGGAGCCGAAUUUGCUCAAACCAGCCGCAACGUCCCACGCACAAGAGGAAGAGGCAGAGCUGCAAUAAAGUCUAGAAGAUCGAUGCUUUCAAGAGCUGAUGAGGAGAGUCGAGGAGCUUCAAAGGGAAAGAAGAGCAGAAAUUGAGCGCCUUGUACAGGGCAUGAGCCUGGAGGACCACCGUCAUCUCAUCUCUCAACUUUUGGAAAGACAGCCAGGUCUGGUUUUUGAUGUUUUGUUGGACAACCAACGCCGAGAUAGGCACACCACACCCGUGCAGGCCCCUGCGUUAACAUGGUGUACUUGUGGCAAUUGCACAGAUAUGCCAACAGAUGCAGAGCGCAAAUGCUGUGGACAAGACUCUGUAAACUGUAAGCCUUCUGCCCCAUUUUAGACUUUACUGUUUGGAUGAAGGUGUCCUGAGGAUCCAUCGUCAGUACAGAGCAGACCUCACCGUAUUAGGACAGAUUAGGGAACCAGGCGAUGACAACAGGGAAUACAGGUAUGCUGCCUACCGGCACUUCAUUUUCUGGCAGCAUGGGUCACUUGGACAUGGAAAUCGAAGAGUCAUCCCAAGUUGCUGUGUGGUCAAAAUUAGGGAGAAAUUUCCAGACCCUCAUGGACAGUAUACUGGUUUUCUUCCGGGAGUGUAACUGGUCAAAAGUUUACAUGGGUUGUUGAAGUGUUUCUGAUAUUUUGUACACCUUUAUAUUGUAAUUUAUUAUGUUGAAUAAGUAUUUUAGAUAAAUAUUUUUUGAAACCCCAAUGUUAGUGUUGUACAAUAAUGACAAAUUUAGAGGUGGCUACUCUUCAGCCAUGUAUACUCUUGUAAUGUGAAAAAAAAAUCACAUCUUUACAACUCCAUAGUUUUGCAUUACAUUAGUGAGCUAUUAAUUUACACUCUUACAGGGUCAAGUCAUGAAACAAAAAAUAUGUAAUUUUCUGAAAGACAUAAGAAAUAAAGAAAUUAGUACAGAUGCACUUUUAUUUGAAUUAACCUUAUUCAGAGUUUGAACAGACAAAUUUGGAACACAUUUUAAUCUUGAAACAUGAUUUUACACACUUUAGGAUAAUAAAGAAUAGAUCUAACGUAAAAGACUGUGCAGAAUUUAUGUGCUACUUCAAGUAAAAAGAACAACAUGUUAGCACAGUAGUAAAGACAUCAAAGUGCAAUAUCUACAUUUUUAUGUACAUUACAUUAGUAACACGCAGCAGGUAUAGAAUACUCCAUGUAAAUGUAGACAAGAUCGUCACUGGAGGCCUGUAGCUGUGUUGAGUUCUGAUACUGUGAAAAAAGUAUUGUAAGACAAGUGUAGGUAAAGAACUGAGCUGUAGUCAAAGGAUGCUAAAAUGACACA